rnacentral:rRNA from 1 species
UACGGAGGGUGCAAGCGUUAUCCGGAUUUACUGGGUGUAAAGGGUGCGUAGGUGGGCAGGUAAGUCAGUGGUGAAAUCUCCGGGCUUAACCCGGAAACUGCCAUUGAUACUAUCUGUCUUGAAUACCGUAGAGGUGAGCGGAAUAUGUCAUGUAGCGGUGAAAUGCUUAGAUAUGACAUAGAACACCAAUUGCGAAGGCAGCUCACUACGCGAAUAUUGACACUGAGGCACGAAAGCGUGGGGAUCAAACAGG